rnacentral:rRNA from 1 species
ACUUAAAUUGAAGAGUUUGAUCAUGGCUCAGAUUGAACGCUGGCGGCAGGCCUAACACAUGCAAGUCGAGCGGCAGCGGGAAAGUAGCUUGCUACUUUU